ACCAAGAUCUGGAAGCCCUCCAACAUUUUCAAAACAGAACUGCUUAUUAAUAUAGAGAAAAAGAAGCAGCAUCAGGAUAAUAAACACCCAAACAGCUGACAAAAACCCAACUGCCUCUGGAGAUACUUUUCUAAAACAGCCAGAACAGGAAUGCUGCUGGAAGAGCAAGAAUGAAAAUCAUCACAUAAAUUUGGGCCAUCCUGGUGAUGUCAGGAUCCACUUAAGAGCAGGAAGAUGCUGUCAGUAUUGAGAAAGAUGGCCCAGCAAGGAAAACAGCACAGCAUCAAGAUAAGGAUUCCUCUUUGAAGAAAGCUUCCUGCUGACUCAAAAGGAUUUUUCUUCUUCUGAACUCCUAUUAUGGGAAUGGAUGAAAUCACUUACAGAGCCACAGAAGGAAACAAAGCAAAGCCAGGAUCAUGAGUUGGAUUAUCUGGAGGCCUAGGCCAAUGGGGAGUUAUUGCUUGCAGUCACUGAUCAAGCAAAUAAACUUUUCCUUCUUUCUUAUGAAAUUUAUUUAAGAAGCUGAAAUUACUUAAAUGAUAAUGAGUUGUGAGAAAAGAAUUGUAGUAGAUAUUUGUUCUCUAUCCAAAUUGCACUGAGUGGGGAGGUGUACCCAUACCCCAGCUUCGAGAAUUGACUGAUAACAGUUCACACCUGCACUUCUCCAGAGAAUUGUCCUUGUCUGACCUGAGCACCUUGUUUAGUAAUGUCUGGUAGGCUAUGCUCCACCUUCCCUGGGCAGAUCCACUGGUCUAAGACAAACAACCCAACCCUCUAAUUUCUGGGAAGAAUCACCUCCGUGAUUAAUCUAAGCUCCAGAUCUCCCAGAGAA
rnacentral:lncRNA from 1 species